rnacentral:rRNA from 1 species
UACGUAGGGUGCAAGCGUUGUCCGGAAUUAUUGGGCGUAAAGAGUUCGUAGGCGGCGUGUCGCGUCUGCCGUGAAAGCCCAUGGCUUAACUGUGGGUCUGCGGUGGAUACGGGCAGGCUAGAGGCUGGUAGGGGCAAGCGGAAUUCCUGGUGUAGCGGUGAAAUGCGCAGAUAUCAGGAGGAACACCGGUGGCGAAGGCGGCUUGCUGGGCCAGUUCUGACGCUGAGGAGCGAAAGCGUGGGGAGCGAACAGG